UACGGGGGGAGCAAGCGUUGUUCGGAUUUACUGGGCGUAAAGGGCGCGUAGGCGGCCAGCACAAGUCAGUUGUGAAAUCUCCGGGCUUAACUCGGAAAGGUCAACUGAUACUGUGCGGCUAGAGUGCAGAAGGGGCAACUGGAAUUCUCGGUGUAGCGGUGAAAUGCGUAGAUAUCGAGAGGAACACCUGCGGCGAAGGCGGGUUGCUGGGCUGACACUGACGCUGAGAAGCGAAAGCAUGGGGAGCGAACAGG
rnacentral:rRNA from 1 species